GUGGGGAAUAUUGGACAAUGGGCGAAAGCCUGAUCCAGCCAUGCCGCGUGUGUGAAGAAGGUCUUCGGAUUGUAAAGCACUUUAAGUUGGGAGGAAGGGCAGUAAGUUAAUACCUUGCUGUUUUGACGUUACCGCCAGAAUAAGCACCGGCUAACUUCGUGCCAGCAGCCGCGGUAAUACGAAGGGUGCAAGCGUUAAUCGGAAUUACUGGGCGUAAAGCGCGCGUAGGUGGUUUUGUAAGUUGGAGGUGAAAUCCCCGGGCUCAACCUGGGAACUGCCUCCAAAACUGCAUGACUAGAGUACGGUAGAGGGUAGUGGAAUUUCCUGUGUAGCGGUGAAAUGCGUAGAUAUAGGAAGGAACACCAGUGGCGAAGGCGACUACCUGGACUGAUACUGACACUGAGGUGCGAAAGCGUGGGGAGCAAACAGGAUUAGAUACCCGGGUAGUCC
rnacentral:rRNA from 1 species